GCACGGGUGCGUAACGCGUGGGAAUCUGCCCUUUGCUUCGGAAUAACAGUUAGAAAUGACUGCUAAUACCGGAUGAUGUCGCAAGACCAAAGAUUUAUCGGCAAGGGAUGAGCCCGCGUAGGAUUAGGUAGUUGGUGGGGUAAGGCUCACCAAGCCGACGAUCCUUAGCUGGUCUAAGAGGAUGAUCAGCACACUGGGACUGAGACACAGGCCCAGACUCCUACGGGAGGCAGCAGUGGGGAAUAUUGGACAAUGGGCGAAAGCCUGAUCCAGCAAUGCCGCGUGAGUGAUGAAGGCCUUAGGGUUGUAAAGCUCUUUUACCAGGGAUGAUAAUGACAGUACCUGGAGAAUAAGCUCCGGCUAACUCCGUGCCAGCAGCCGCGGUAAUACGGAGGGAGCUAGCGUUGUUCGGAAUUACUGGGCGUAAAGCGCACGUAGGCGGCGACUCAAGUCAGAGGUGAAAGCCCGGGGCUCAACCCCGGAACUGCCUUUGAAACUAGGUUGCUAGAAUUCUGGAGAGGUCAGUGGAAAUUCCGAGUGUAAAGGUGAAAUUCGGUAAUUUCCGGAAGAACACC
rnacentral:rRNA from 1 species